rnacentral:rRNA from 1 species
UAGGGAAUCUUCGGCAAUGGGGGGAACCCUGACCGAGCAACGCCGCGUGAGUGAAGAAGGUUUUCGGAUCGUAAAGCUCUGUUGUUAAGGAAGAACGAGUGUGAGAAUGGAAAGUUCAUGCUGUGACGGUACUUAACCAGAAAGGGACGGCUAACUACGUGCCAGCAGCCGCGGUAAUACGUAGGUCCCGAGCGUUGUCCGGAUUUAUUGGGCGUAAAGCGAGCGCAGGCGGUUAGAAAAGUCUGAAGUGAAAGGCAGUGGCUCAACCAUUGUAGGCUUUGGAAACUGUUUAACUUGAGUGCAGAAGGGGAGAGUGGAAUUCCAUGUGUAGCGGGGAAAUGCGUAGAUAUAUGGAGGAACACCGGUGCGAAAGCGGCUCUCUGGUCUGUAACUGACGCUGAGGCUCGAAAGCGUGGGGAGCGAACAGG